AACGUAGGUCACAAGUGUUGUCCGGAAUUACUGGGUGUAAAGGGAGCGCAGGCGGGAAGACAAGUUGGAAGUGAAAUCUAUGGGCUCAACCCAUAAACUGCUUUCAAAACUGUUUUUCUUGAGUAGUGCAGAGGUAGGCGGAAUUCCCGGUGUAGCGGUGGAAUGCGUAGAUAUCGGGAGGAACACCAGUGGCGAAGGCGGCCUACUGGGCACCAACUGACGCUGAGGCUCGAAAGUGUGGGUAGCAAACAGG
rnacentral:rRNA from 1 species